rnacentral:rRNA from 1 species
AGUGAACGCUGGCGGUAGGCCUAACACAUGCAAGUCGAACGGCAGCACAGUAAGAGCUUGCUCUUACGGGUGGCGAGUGGCGGACGGGUGGGGAAUACAUCGGAAUCUACUUUUUCGUGGGGGAUAACGUAGGGAAACUUACGCUAAUACCGCAUACGACCUACGGGUGAAAGCAGGGGAUCUUCGGACCUUGCGCGAUUGAAUGAGCCGAUGUCGGAUUAGCUAGUUGGCGGGGUAAAGGCCCACCAAGGCGACGAUCCGUAGCUGGUCUGAGAGGAUGAUCGGCGACACUGGAACUGAGACACGGUCCAGACUCCUACGGGAGGCAGCAGUGGGGAAUAUUGGACAAUGGGCGCAGGCCUGAUCCAGCCAUACCGCGUGGGUGAAGAAGGCCUUCGGGUUGUAAAGCCCUUUUGUUGGGAAAGAAAAGCAGCAGGUUAAUACCCCGCUGUUCUGACGGUACCCAAAGAAUAAGCACCGGCUAACUUCGUG